rnacentral:tRNA from 1 species
GCCUCUGUGGCGGAACUGGUAGACGCGAUAGACUCAAAAUCUGUUGUUCGAAAGGACGUGCUGGUUCGAUUCCGGCCAGGGGCACCA